ensembl:miRNA MIR9-2 microRNA 9-2
UCUUUGGUUAUCUAGCUGUAUGAGUUUAUGUGAUAUCAUAAAGCUAGAGAACCGAAUGUAU